rnacentral:rRNA from 1 species
AUGGCUGAGCUCGCCGGGGUUGCUGUCCGCUCGCUGUUGGGCGUCAUCCGCGACGAGGCUAAGCUGCUGGGGGGUGUCGGUGGUGAUGUGCAGUUCAUAAAAGAGGAGAUGGAGAGCAUGAACAGCUUCCUCCUGCACCUCGCCAGGAAGACACCCCGCAACGGAGAGCACGAUGUGCAGGUCCGCACGUGGAUGAAGCAGGUCCGUGACCUUGCUCACGACUGCAGCAACUGCAUCGACGUCUACCUACAGCGCGGUGAUCCGGCAGUCUAUCGCGCCAGAGGAAUCCUGCUGGGCUACGUGUGGUGGGUGCCUUGGUUCAUCAAGAAGACAGUCGCUCAGCACCUUGCAGCCACCCAGCUGAGAGACCUCAAGGCCCGGGCGCGUGACGUUGGCGAGCGGAGGCUGAGGUACGGUGUUGAGGGCCCGGCCAAGGCAGACUCCGAUAAGCUGGUGCUGCCGGAGGCAGCGGCGGAGUCAUCACCGUCAUUUCAAGCUGCUGCUGCGGGGAUUGUAGCUGAAGGAGACUAUGACUUGGAAGAAGACUACUACUGGGCGACAAGUGAUGAUCCACGAAGGGAGCAAGCCUUUUCCGAGCCUCGCAUUGUUUUCAAGUGCACCAAAGAGCUAAUGCACUGGCUCAAACACCAACACAUGGGUGACCCAUUCAAAGCCAUCGCCAUUGCAGCACCAGAUGAAGAGGAUGGAAGGGAUAUUAUUAAUCAAGCAUUGCUUCAUAAUUCCAUCAAGGAAAAGUUCGACCACAUCUUCUUUUUAAACGAGAAGAUGUUUAUUUUUGAAGCAGCAACACCUACUGCGGGGGAGAAGGCGUCUUACACUUGCCUGCAAGAACCCUGGGAUUUUCUUGGUGACAUCCUGAAGGAGCUGGAAGGGGAAGCCGACGAAUCGGUGGAAGAAUUUGGCGAGGAAGAAGUCAACGAGAAGAUUGGGAAGAUCGAGGAGAAGAUCGAAGAGUACCUGGAAAAAGCUGGUAAUAAAGGUUACCGGGUUGAACCCUUAGGAGUACUCUGUGGCAUCUUGCGGGUGCUGCUCCAGGACGCCACUGCUGGUGAGGAUCCAAAUCAAACCGAGGAACAGAUCCUUAACGAGACAGCGGAUAAGAUGAAAAACUAUCUUGAAUCAGGGGGUGCAAUGGAUUCCUGCAGGAUCGGCGUUGAGCAUUCCCAAUACAUAGCCAUCCUGCAGGAGCUGCUUCCGAAUCAGGCCACCACACUGGCAAAGGCAGCCACAAAUAAACUGGCUGGCGAGGAUUAUAUCGUGAAGAAUAUUAAAGACAUCACGCUGAAAAUUCAAGUGCAUAUCACGCCGGAGCUCCUGCCAGUGUCACUUCACCAGCAAGAUAAAUCAGUGGAAGAAUCAGGCCAAGACCACCUGUCGCUGCCAUGGGGCGAGGAGGACUGCAGGAAGAGGAUUGAACAAGUCCUAGAGAAGAUCAAAGAGCAUCUGUUGAUUCAAGAAACCGUGGGGAGGGUUAGAGAGUAUCUGAAGGAUACAAGGACGCUGGUCAUUCUCCACGAUGCCUCUGGCUACAAAUGGGAUGAGACCGCAGAGGCCUUGCAAAAUUUGGGUUGCAGUUCAAUGGCAGUGAUAGUUACCACAAAAUACAUGCAGGGCUCCAAGGACUUCUGCUAUGGGACGGAACCCAUCGUGUACUCUUCUAUUGAAUACUACCACAAAACAGCGCUCCAACUUACAAAUCGGCGUGUGAAUGACGACGAGAAGUACAGUGCUGAAAUCUUCCAUGAGAUCUUGGAGAAAUGUAGGGUGGAUGAGUUCAGCCUGAAUAUGUUCAUCCAUGCUCUAUUUGCCAAUCCAAUGAGGAGCAGAGAAGAACUGGGCAAGCUGAGCAACAGCCUCGUGUUUGGAGGUUCUGCGAAAACUAGUACGAAUGGCUACAAGAUGAUCAAGUUCUCCUACAGCGAUCUGCCUAGGGAAUACAAGACAUGUUUGCUAUAUCUAGCCAUCUUCCAUGAAGGUGAGAAGAUAAACCGUACAAGGUUAAUUGGGCGGUGGGUUGCGGAAGGACUGAUAACUAGACAAGACUGGUCCAGUUCAGUAAGCCAGGCUGAGCAUUGUUUGGAGGUACUUGCCGAUCUAUGGCUUGUUUGUCCUUGUGAUGUUGGUGCUGCAGGGAAGGUCAAGAGCAUUACAGUGCAUCAACAAGUGUACAACUUCAUCACCAUGAUGGCCAGGAAAGUACACAUUCUGGACACACGCCUGUCUCGGCACCUGGCUCGCCACUUCUCCAUUCUCAGCAACAUCAGGCUCCGUCCCUCAGAUAGCAUCCUCGACUUCUUGAAGCAACCAUCCCGUGCAUCAUCUCAGUUGAAGCUCGUCAAGGUCCUGGAUCUGGAAGGAUGUGCAUCCCUGGGAGAUAACCAACGCUGGCUCAAGAACAUCUGCACCUCGUUAAUACUGCUCAAGUAUCUGAGCCUAAGGAACACAGAUGUCACUCAGCUGCCCAAGGAGAUCAACAUGCUCCAGCAGCUGGAGGUGUUGGACAUCCGGGACACUCCAAUAAAUGCCUCCGCCAUAAAACACCUCAUGCUGCUGAAGCUGAAGCGUCUGCUGGCUGGUCACACUGAUGAUGCUAGCAUACUUUCCACUGUCCAGAUGCCUCACAAGGUCAGAAAAAUGACAGACCUGGAAGUGCUGUCCCAUGUAGAGGCUUCAAAACAUCAUGCUACAGAGCUGAGAGAGAUUGGCCAGCUAUGGCAGCUGAGGGUGCUUGGUGUGGUCAUUUAUGAUUGGAAACCUCAACUUGAGAACUUACUCCAAGGGAUCAGCAAUCUGAAUGAGUGCCUUAAGUCAUUGUCCAUCGAGAUCAGGCCUCCGCCUGCCAGCCAGGGUGCUACUCCUCCUGACGUACCUGCAACCAAUGCUAUGAGCGCACACUGUAAGAACACACCCAAGCUUCUUGAAAGCCUGAGCAUCAGUGGAGUCACAAAGUAUGGGCGUCUUCACCCAUUGUUCACCAGAGGCUGCCACAAACUUGCCAAGGUAACUCUUCAUAACACCUUCUUGGACCAGGAUGAUAUGGAAUCCCUCGCACAUUUGCCCAACCUACGCGGCCUCAGGCUCCGGCACAUUAAUUUACACACUGAGGGCAAGCUUAUAAUCCAGACCAAUGGGUUCCAAAAUCUCAAAUAUCUUACUAUUGAGGGGGGUGGCAUCACAGACAUCAACUUCGAACAAGGAGAAGUUCCUAAGCUUGAAAAGAUCGUCUGGCUCAUCGAUGUGAUAGAGUCUCUCUCAGGAAUCAACAACCUUCCCAAGUUGAAGAAAUGGUGUUCAGUGGUGCGGUCAGGCUACCAAAUCAGGUGA